GAAAAACUGUAUCCUGUGCGUAUUCUGUCAUUGUACCACCGUCUCCUCCUCUCCACAGUGACAAAAGUCAUCUCCGGUUGAUACCUGCCCUUCAAAGGUAUUAUUUAUAGACGCAGUUAGCGUCGGAAAAAAUACCUUCAGGUUUGGUAAAUCACAAUGUGUGUGCUAAAUAACAUAUUUGCAUUUUCUCCUCCCUGUAUUUUGCACACUGGGGUUGAAACGCCCCAUAUUACAUAUUCAUUAUGGCAAACGUACUAAAUGGACACUCACGCAAACCUCAGUGCGCUGCGUUAGUAGAUCAGCUUGCACAUUUUAUGUCAAGUUUGCACACGUUUUUACACACGC